rnacentral:tRNA from 1 species
AGGGUGCUAUCUCAAUGGAAGAGCUCCUGCCUUACAAGAAGGAGGUUGGUGGUUCGAUUCUUCCAUGCCCUG